GCCGGGCGUGGUGGUGCAUGCCUGUAAUUCCAGCUACUCGGGAGGCUGAGACAGGAGAGUCGCUUGAACCUGGGAGGCAGAGGUUGCAGUGAGCCGAGAUCGCACCACUGCACUCCAGCCUGGGUGACAGAGCCACACCCUGUCUCAA
rnacentral:SRP_RNA from 1 species